rnacentral:rRNA from 1 species
UACGUAGGGAGCAAGCGUUGUCCGGAAUUAUUGGGCGUAAAGAGUUCGUAGGCGGUUUGUCGCGUCUGCUGUGAAAACUCGGGGCUUAACUCCGGGCCUGCAGUGGGUACGGGCAGACUAGAGUGCGGUAGGGGAGACUGGAAUUCCUGGUGUAGCGGUGAAAUGCGCAGAUAUCAGGAGGAACACCGGUGGCGAAGGCGGGUCUCUGGGCCGUAACUGACGCUGAGGAGCGAAAGCGUGGGGAGCGAACAGG